GGCGAGUGAAGCGGCAACAGCUCAAAUUUGAAAGCUAGCCUUCGGGUUCGCAUUGUAAUUUGUAGAGGAUGAUUUGGGGAAGCCGCCUGUCUAAGUUCCUUGGAACAGGACGUCAUAGAGGGUGAGAAUCCCGUAUGUGACAGGAAAUGGCACCCUAUGUAAAUCUCCUUCGACGAGUCGAGUUGUUUGGGAAUGCAGCUCUAAAUGGGAGGUAAAUUUCUUCUAAAGCUAAAUAUUGGCGAGAGACCGAUAGCGCACAAGUAGAGUGAUCGAAAGAUGAAAAGCACUUUGGAAAGAGAGUUAAAAAGCACGUGAAAUUGUUGAAAGGGAAGCGCUUGCAAUCAGACUUGUUUAAACUGUUCGGCCGGUCUUCUGACCGGUUUACUCAGUUUGGACAGGCCAGCAUCAGUUUCGGCGGCCGGAUAAAGGCUCUGGGAAUGUGGCCUCCACUUCGGUGGAGGUGUUAUAGCCCAGGGUGUAAUACGGCCAGCCGGGACUGAGGUCCGCGCUUCGGCUAGGAUGCUGGCGUAAUGGUUGUAAGCGACCCGUCUUGAAACAACG
rnacentral:rRNA from 1 species